UACGGGGGGGGCAAGCGUUGUUCGGAAUUACUGGGCGUAAAGGGCGCGUAGGCGGCCUGCUAAGUCGGAUGUGAAAUCCCUCGGCUCAACCGAGGAACUGCAUCCGAUACUGGCGGGCUUGAGUCCGGGAGAGGUGAGUGGAAUUCCUAGUGUAGAGGUGAAAUUCGUAGAUAUUAGGAAGAACACCAGUGGCGAAGGCGGCUCACUGGCCCGGUACUGACGCUGAGGCGCGAAAGCGUGGGGAGCAAACAGGG
rnacentral:rRNA from 1 species